rnacentral:misc_RNA from 1 species
GAUGAAGAACGUAGCGAAAUGCGAUAAGUAAUGUGAAUUGCAGAAUUCAGUGAAUCAUCGAAUCUUUGAACGCACAUUGCGCCCGCCAGUAUUCUGGCGGGCAUGCCUGUCCGAGCGUCAUUUCAACCAUCAAGCCCCGGGCUUGUGUUGGGGACCUGCGUCCGACGCAGGCCCUGAAAACCAGUGGCGGGCUCGCUGUCCACACCGAGCGUAGUAACUAACCUCGCUAUGGAGUGGCGCGGGCGCCUGCCGUAAAACCCCCAAUUUUUACAAGGUUGACCUCGGAUCAGGUAGGAAUACCCGCUGAACUUAAGCAUAUCAAUAAGCGGAA